AUGGCACAGCUAUCGUCAUCACCGUAUGCCUUAAUAGUUGGUGCCCCAAAGCAGAACAAUAAUUCGGAAUUCGGCAAUGGUGCGUCACCGCUUUUGCAAGGUCUUCGACUCUCUUGCCAAGCAUACCCGCCGAGUACCAUCAUCCAUUUUUCCAGUCAU